rnacentral:lncRNA from 1 species
GCCGCCGCCGCCGCUCCCGGCUAGUGCGGCGAGGACUGGCCGGCGGGGCGGCCCGGGCCCGGCCCGCCUCCUCAGCGCCCUUCCCGGCUUCUCCCCCUGGCGGUGAGAGCCUCGGCGGCCGCCGGCUACAACGAGCGCACUGGAGCCCGAGCCGAGCCGAGCCCGAGCCGCCGCCGCCGCCGCCGCUCCGGGGCUCCCUGUGAGAGCGCCCGGGUGUGGGGUCGGCGGGCUCGGGGCGCGCCCCGGGUCGGGCCGAAGACCGGACCGUCCGCCGCAGGGAUGUCGCGGGUCUCUGUCCUGUUAAGUUGAGCUGCAGAACUUCCCUGUCAAUUCUCCUAGUCUUGCUGUAACAGCCCUGAUCCCCUUGUAUGAAGGUGAAUGUCUCCAGAAAAUACAGUGGCCAUAUACACAGGAAGUAGAUGAAAGUAAAUUAAAAGCCUCCACUCUAUUUCAUGUCUGAAAAUGGGUCAAUGUUCACAUAGCUACAUGUCCUUCCUCAUAGGGGGAUAAUAGCCAGGAAGAAAAUAUUUGAACAUGGAAGACUGAAGCUGCUACAGGACAGUGCUGACUAAACUUUGAUUUGCAUUUGCACCCCUGGAGGAUCUUGUGUCAAGACAGAUUCAGAUUCAAAAGGUUUGGGUUAGGUCCCAAUAUUUUUUUCUAACAAGAUGAUGCCAGGCUGCUGUUCUGUGAAUGCCAAGAGUUUAGAGCCCUUCCUUAGGCAACUCCUGUCCCCUCUGUGCAGUCAGCAAAAGGAGAGCACUUCCUGGUCAGAGGCUUAAAAAAAAAAAAAACAGGAAAUACACAGCAUGUAUUUGGAUGAGACUAGAAACAAAACGAACAAGUUAACGAAGAAAUACGUUCAUCAAAACCUGACAUUAUUACUAACAUUGAGAUGGAAUGGAGUCAAAGGUGGGCUACCCAGGUAUUCAGUGUUUAAGUGCAGCUGCUUUUGAAAUUUAAUUUUAAGUUGUAACAAGAAUCACUGUAUCUAGUUAUAUCCUUCCCUAGAGAGGAAAGUUCAAGUUUCCAUAAAGGAGGAACUAAAGCUCUCAGAAUUACUGAGUUGUACAGUGCUAAUUUAUAUGAAUCUUCACCUUCCUCCAUAAGUUUCUAAUGAUUAUGGUUUCUGGAGAAUAAUAUAUCACUUUUUUAAUGCAUAUUCUUAAUCUACAAAACAAAAAACUUCCAAAAAUUUAAACUAGAAAAACAUUUUAGAAUGUUUUAGAACACUCAGGAUGUUCUGUCAUAGGGAGAGAAUGAAGUGUCAUGUGUGUAUAUGUGUAUGAUUAUUCUGUGUUAUUAUAAACUUCCAGAGCAUAGCAUGCAUUUUCAGAGACGUUGUCUUAGCAUUUAAACUGCAAGGCCCUUUUGUAGAAGCCCUCUUCUUGCUCACCAGCAAGCCCUAUAGAUAGGUAACUCUGGCAAUCUUAUAUGUGAUUUAUUAAUAUGUCAUGUUCUUGACCAAGUAAACCUGAUUUUGCUAAUUACUUAUCAGUUCUUUUACCUUGUAUUUCUUUAAGAGCAGCAUUGCUUGUUUUACCAAAUAUAUAUUGUCCAACUUGCAGAAAAUACUAAUGAUAUUACAGAUAACAAAAUGAGAUUAUGUGUGCAGAUCCCUGCAUCCUGGUGGGCACUAUCUUGUUUAGUAAGUUUUUCCUUCUGCUGUUGCCACUGCCAAACAGACUGCUUAUGAAAUCUUUGGCUUUCUUAACGACUCUUCAGGGAUCACUAAAAUGUUUCUUUUUUCCUGGAUGCCAACUUCAUCUCCUUUUAAGAAUAUAGUAUUAGUUUAAAGGGAUACUCAAUUUAAAGCAAACUUGUAGAUUCAGUCACUCAUGAUUGAUAUUAGGCAAGCAGAAAAAAAAUAGGUUGAUUUUUAUCCUCUACCUUUUAUCCUCCAACUUUUUUAUCUUUGAUGGUGAAGGUGGCUACUUUUUUUAAACCACAGCCUGGUAUGUAUUGUUUGAAAACUUGUUUGAAAGUUGUCUUAACCUAUGUCGUUCUUCUGUUUUUAUCUGUAGAAAUGAGAAAACAUAUAUGUCAGCUACUUGUUUCUUUUAAGUACUCAAAUUAAUAUUUUUCUUGAAAUAAAUAAUAAUUACAGUUUUAAGUUGUCAUAUUAAUAUUUUACAUGAAGUAAGCUCAAUAUGUAUACACAGCAUAGCAGUAAAGACAUCUCAAAUAAUAAGUAAUUCGUGAAACUAAGUUUGAAAUUUAAGCACUGCUAAUAUGUCUACAUAUUUGUAUUUCUUUUCUUGGACUUGGUCUGUUUAAAAUAAUAGUUAUGGCCUAUUGUGUUAUUUGUUAUUCUGUCAUUUAAAAUGUAAAUUAUGCUGUCUUGAAUUAUUUGUGUAAAGCUGAGUUUAUAGGUAAGUUUAUAGUACCAAUAAACAACCAGUGAUUACAUUUUUACUGAGAAAACUCAUUAUUCCUACUUUAAAUGUACCAACAGUCUCUCAACCAUAAGGUUUUUUUGGUACCAGGGAUCGAACUCUGGACCUUGCACUUGUGAGGCAGGUGGCAGAACCACAAUCCCCGCAUAAGUUUAUGCACAUGACAGUGUUGCCUGG